GGAAGGUCCGGCAUUGGCGUGCCAAGCGCUCUCGAAAAGCGUGGCGGGUAACACCGCUGGGGGUUCGACUCCCUCACCUUCCG
rnacentral:tRNA from 1 species